AAGGACAGCGCCCGCCACGCUCCGCGAGCGGCAGGAGGCACGCGCCGGCCUCCGCCCUCUAGUAGCUAAGCGAGCUGGGGCGUUCCCGCCCCGCCCGCCAAGGAGGGAGGGGCGAAGCGGCGCUGCCGCCCCGCCCGCAGUGAGUGCCAGAGCGAAGCGAGCCGGGCUGCUUUUCUGCUCUCCGCGCGCGGCUGGUACGGCCGGGAGGGUCGGUCCGCACCAAGGAACAUCUGUGUUGUCUUUGGUGUCAUGAUGCAGGUGUGCAUCAUUAAGCAUAAAAAGGAGAAAGCCAGAUCAUAGCAGAGAUUAUGGUGAUCCACAAUGUA